GUUGGUAGAGCGCACCCUUGGUAAGGGUGAGGUCCCCAGUUCGACUCUGGGUAUCAGCA
rnacentral:tRNA from 1 species